CAUGGGCGCAGCCUGGAUGCAGCCAUGCCGCGGUGGUGUGAAGAAGGCCUUCGGGUUGUAAAGCACUUUCAGUCAGGAGGAAAGGGUGUGAGUUAAUACCUCAUAUCUGUGACGUUACUGACAGAAGAAGCACCGGCUAACUCCGUGCCAGCAGCCGCGGUAAUACGA
rnacentral:rRNA from 1 species